GAUCAUGGCUCAGGAUGAACGCUGGCGGCGUGCCUAACACAUGCAAGUCGAACGGACUUUUCAUGAAGCCUAGCGAUUGAAAAGUUAGUGGCGGACGGGUGAGUAACGCGUGGGUAACCUGCCUUGUACUGGGGGACAACAGUUGGAGACGACUGCUAAUACCGCAUAAGCGCACAGCUUCGCAUGAAGCAGUGUGAAAAAACUCCGGUGGUACAAGAUGGACCCGCGUCUGAUUAG
rnacentral:rRNA from 1 species